CCUACGGGGGGCUGCAGUGGGGAAUAUUGCACAAUGGGGGAAACCCUGAUGCAGCGACGCCGCGUGAGCGAUGAAGUAUUUCGGUAUGUAAAGCCCUAUCAGCAGGGAAGAAAAUGACGGUAACUGACUAAGAAGCCCCCGCUAACUACGUGCCAGCAGCCGCGGUAAUACGGAGGGGGCAAGCGUUAACCGGAUUUACUGGGUGGAAAGGGAGCGUAGACGGCGGUGCAAGCCAGAUGUGAAAGCCCGGGGCUCAACCCCGGGACUGCAUUUGGAACUGUGCUGCUAGAGUGUCGGAGAGGCAGGCGGAAUUCCUGGUGUAGCGGUGAAAUGCGUAGAUAUUAGGAGGAACACCAGUGGCGAAGGCGGCCUGCUGGACGAUGACUGACGUUGAGGCUCGAAAGCGUGGGGAGCAAACAGGAUUAGAUACACGUGUAGUC
rnacentral:rRNA from 1 species